rnacentral:rRNA from 1 species
AGCAGUAGCCGCGGGAAUACGAAGGGUGCAAGCGUUAAUCGGAAUUACUGGGCGUAAAGCGCGCGUAGGUGGUUUGUUAAGUUGGAUGUGAAAGCCCCGGGCUCAACCUGGGAACUGCAUCCAAAACUGGCAAGCUAGAGUACGGUAGAGGGUGGUGGAAUUUCCUGUGUAGCGGUGAAAUGCGUAGAUAUAGGAAGGAACACCAGUGGCGAAGGCGACCACCUGGACUGAUACUGACACUGAGGUGCGAAAGCGUGGGGAGCAAACAGGAUUAGAUACCCCGUAGUCCCUGUCUCUUAUACA